rnacentral:rRNA from 1 species
CGUGCAGGCGGGCAUGUAAGUUGGAUGUGAAAUCUCCCGGCUUAACUGGGAGAGGUCGUCCAAAACUGUGUGUCUGGAGUGUGAGAGAGGGAGGCAGAAUUCCGAGUGUAGUGGUGAAAUGCGUAGAUAUUCGGAGGAAUACCAGAGGCGAAGGCGGCCUCCUGGCUCACAACUGACGCUGAGACGCGAAAGCUAGGGUAGCAAACG